ACGUCUCAGUUCGGACUGUGGUCUGCAACUCGACCACACGAAGCUGGAAUCGCUAGUAAUCGCGAAUCAGCAUGUCGCGGUGAAUACGUUCCCGGGUCUUGUACACACCGCCCGUCACACCAUGGGAGUCAGCAACGCCCGAAGUCAGUGACCUAACCGAGAGGAAGGAGCUGCCGAAGGCGGGGCAGGUAACUGGGGUGAAGUCGUAACAAGGUAAC
rnacentral:rRNA from 1 species